AGAUUACACAGAUGAGGGAAAAAGCAAUGGACACUGGUCAGGGAACUGAAGAGAAGAUAACGAAAAUGCAAGUGGCUCAAUUCU